AUUGAACGCUGGCGGCAUGCCUUACACAUGCAAGUCGAACGGCAGCACGGGAGCAAUCCUGGUGGCGAGUGGCGAACGGGCGUGUAAAGUAUCGGAACGUGCCCAGUCGUGGGGGAUAACGUAGCGAAAGUUACGCUAAUACCGCAUACGAUCUAUGGAUGAAAGCGGGGGAUCGCAAGACCUCGCGCGAUUGGAGCGGCCGAUAUCAGAUUAGGUAGUUGGUGGGGUAAAGGCCCACCAAGCCGACGAUCUGUAGCUGGUCUGAGAGGACGACCCGCCACACUGGGACUGAGACACGGCCCAGACUCCUACGGGAGGCAGCAGUGGGGAAUUUUGGACAAUGGGCGAAAGCCUGAUCCAGCCAUGCCGCGUGCAGGAUGAAGGCCUUCGGGUUGUAAACUGCUUUUGUACGGAACGAAAAGGACUGCCCUAAUACGGUGGUCCCAUGACGGUACCGUAAGAAUAAGCACCGGCUAACUACGUGCCAGCAGCCGCCGUAA
rnacentral:rRNA from 1 species